GAUGAACGCUGGCGGCGUGCCUAAUACAUGCAAGUCGAGCGAACAGACGAGGAGCUUGCUCCUCUGACGUUAGCGGCGGACGGGUGAGUAACACGUGGAUAACCUACCUAUAAGACUGGGAUCACUUCGGGAAACCGGAGCUAAUACCGGAUAAUAUAUUGCACCGCAUGGUUCAAUAGUGAAAGACGGCUUUGCUGUCACUUCUCGAUGGAUCUGAGCCGCAUUAGCUAGUUGGUAAGGUAACGGCGUACCAAGGCAACGAUGCGUAGCCGACCUGAGAGGGUGGUAGGCCACACUGGAACGGAGACACGGUCCAGACUCCUACGGGAGGCACCAGUAGGGAAUCGUCCGCAAUGGGCGAAAGCCUGACAGAGCAACGCGGAGUGAGUGAUGAAGGUCUUCGGAUCGUAAAACUCUGUUAUUAGGGAAGAACAAAUGUGUAAGUAACUAUGCACGUCUUGACGGUACCUAAUCAGAAAGCCACGGCUAACUACGUG
rnacentral:rRNA from 1 species